rnacentral:lncRNA from 1 species
AGAUUACAAGAAAUCUUAAAAACCCUCGCUAGACCUAGAACUCUAUUUUUCAAGACUCCAACCCACUUAAAUCUCAAUAAUCCUUGUUCAAAUCCUUCUAUCAAGCUAAAACUUACAACAUGUAUUAAAUACAUAUAUACCCAAAAAUCCUCAAAAAUUUACCUACAAAUCUAUUACCAAACUAAUGAAAUUCUCUAAAAAUUAUCACACUUUAUUUCACAAAUCUAGAGUUAUCUAAAAAUAAUUCCG